rnacentral:rRNA from 1 species
GAUGAACGCUGGCGGCGUGCCUAAUACAUGCAAGUCGAGCGAACAGAUGAGGAGCUUGCUCCUCUGACGUUAGCGGCGGACGGGUGAGUAACACGUGGAUAACCUACCUAUAAGACUGGGAUAACUUCGGGAAACCGGAGCUAAUACCGGAUAAUAUAUUGAACCGCAUGGUUCAAUAGUGAAAGACGGUGUUGCUGUCACUUAUAGAUGGAUCCGCGCCGCAUUAGCUAGUUGGUAAGGUAACGGCUUACCAAGGCAACGAUGCGUAGCCGACCUGAGAGGGUGAUCGGCCACCCUGGAACUGAGACACGGUCCAGACUCCUACGGGAGGCAGCAGUAGGGAAUCUUCCGCAAUGGGCGAAAGCCUGACGGAGCAACGCCGCGUGAGUGAUGAAGGUCUUCGGAUCGUAAAACUCUGUUAUUAGGGAAGAACAAAUGUGUAAGUAACUAUGCACGUCUUGACGGUACCUAAUCAGAAAGCCACGGCUAACUACGUG